UGGGGAAUAUUGCACAAUGGGCGCAAGCCUGAUGCAGCCAUGCCGCGUGUAUGAAGAAGGCCUUCGGGUUGUAAAGUACUUUCAGCGGGGAGGAAGGGAGUAAAGUUAAUACCUUUGCUCAUUGACGUUACCCGCAGAAGAAGCACCGGCUAACUCCGUGCCAGCAGCCGCGGUAAUACGGAGGGUGCAAGCGUUAAUCGGAAUUACUGGGCGUAAAGCGCACGCAGGCGGUUUGUUAAGUCAGAUGUGAAAUCCCCGGGCUCAACCUGGGAACUGCAUCUGAUACUGGCAAGCUUGAGUCUCGUAGAGGGGGGUAGAAUGCCAGGUGUAGCGGUGAAAUGCGUAGAGAUCUGGAGGAAUACCGGUGGCGAAGGCGGCCCCCUGGACGAAGACUGACGAUCAGGUGCGAAAGCGUGGGGAGCAAACAGG
rnacentral:rRNA from 1 species